GACGAACGCUGGCGGCGCGCCUAACACAUGCAAGUCGAACGAGCGAGAGAGAGCUUGCUUUCUCAAGCGAGUGGCGAACGGGUGAGUAACGCGUGAGGAACCUGCCUCAAAGAGGGGGACAACAGUUGGAAACGACUGCUAAUACCGCAUAAGCCCACAGCUCGGCAUCGAGCAGAGGGAAAAGGAGUGAUCCGCUUUGAGAUGGCCUCGCGUCCGAUUAGCUAGUUGGUGAGGUAACGGCCCACCAAGGCAACGAUCGGCAGCCGGACUGAGAGGAUGAACGGCCACACUGGAACUGAGACACGGUCCAG
rnacentral:rRNA from 1 species